rnacentral:tRNA from 1 species
AGGCCUGUAGCUCCAAUUGGCUAGAGCGGCGGUCUCCAAAUCCGCAUGUUGGGGGUUCGAAUCCCUCCAGGCCUGCCA